rnacentral:rRNA from 1 species
AUACGAAGGGGGCUAGCGUUGUUCGGAAUUACAGGGCGUAAAGCGCACGUAGGCGGAUAUUUAAGUCAGGGGUGAAAUCCCAGAGCUCAACUCUGGAACUGCCUUUGAUACUGGGUAUCUUGAGUAUGGAAGAGGUAAGUGGAAUUCCGAGUGUAGAGGUGAAAUUCGUAGAUAUUCGGAGGAACACCAGUGGCGAAGGCGGCUUACUGGUCCAUUACUGACGCUGAGGUGCGAAAGCGUGGGGAGCAAACAGGAUUAGAUACCCUAGUAGUCC